GGACACUAGAUUAGUUGCUCCAGUCUUUCACAGGACGAGAGUGAGGGAUUCAUUUUGGAUUAAGCCUCCUCAAAUGUUUGUUAAGCUCAACACAGUUGCAGCUUUGGAUGGUAUUACUGGAAUCAUGACUUUUGGAGGAGGUUUAAUCCGUGAUGAGAUGGGGAGAUGGAUUGGAGGUUUUGAAGCACAAAUUGGGAAGAUUACAGUCUUGCUUGCUGAAUUUACGAGCUUUUUUGAAAGGAUUGUCUGCUGCUUGGGACCAUGGAUUUCGUAGGAUUAUUGUUGAAUGUGACAAUUUGCGAGCUGUUAAUAGAUCGCAGUCUCCUGUUUCAGCCACUUGUUGAAUUUGAGGUUUCAGCAUGUUUACAUAGAAGCGAAUUCUUGAGCAGAUUCGUUAGCUCCGGAUGCGAAAUUAAGGUCCGUUGCCAUGGCAAUGGCUUCACUUGCCUCCACUUGUAAUGGCUAGUUGAGCCUUUUUACCUUUUCUCAUUAUAACUAAAAAAAAAAAGUCAAAAGCAGGAAAAUUCCACAGAGCAAAGUCUUCUCUUGUGAGGAGGUCAGAAGAAGAAGCAAACGCCACCUCUCUUUCGCUCUCUCCUUCCUCUCCCUCUCUCGUUCUGUCUCUGCUGGAAUUAUAUUAAUUAAAGUAAAAGAGCACUGUCCAAUCGAUUUCUCAUAUAAAGUUUUUUAUUAGAAUCGUAUUGUGGCGUAGAGAGAUCAAAUUAUCCAUAUCCAAAGACCAAAAUCAGAAAUCCGCAACUUUAAGAAUCAUAGGGGGGCGCCUCGUAAUGGGUCAAGCCUUUCGGAAACUAUUCGAUUCCUUCUUUGGCAACAAUGAGAUGCGGAUUGUGAUGCUGGGGCUGGAUGCAGCUGGUAAAACAACCAUACUUUAUAAGCUACAUAAUGGAAAAGUUUUUUAUACUGUCUCAACAAUUGGAUUCAAUGUGGAGAAAGUUCAGUAUAAGAAUGUGAUGUUCACUGUUUGGGAUAUUGCUGGACAAGGGAAAUUAAGGCCCUUCUGGAGGCAUUUUUUUAAUAAUACAGUUGGACUGAUAUAUGUUGUUGAUUCGUUGGAUCGUGAGAGAAUUGGAAUAGCAAAAGAAGAGUUUCAGGCCAUCAUCAAAGAUCCAUUUAUGCUCAACAGUGUCAUCCUGGUGUUUGCCAACAAACAGGACAUGGUAUAUUAUCCGUUUCUAUGCACAUGCAUUAUAAAAUGGCCAAAUGUAUACUUAGACUUGGACACCUAUACUAUUUAGGUUUUGGCUGUUACACACCUCAACUAAUUUAGUAACCUAGUAGACACCUGAACUAAUAAAUUUCAUGACUUUUAAACACAAAAUGGGACUGUCAGUGAAAGGUGAAAUGCACGGGCAAUGACGUGUGACAACUAUGCCAAGUCAAAAAUAUAACCAGCUUUUUACUGACAAUUGUUAAAUAGAAACUGAAAAUAACAACCCAGUGGUUAUAUUUUCCCGAUAAUAUUUGAGCAGUUAAUUUCUUCUCUUCUUAAAUGUUGAAGUCACUAAAUCUCUUUCCAUGUGGAGGGGGCAAGAAUCCAAGAUCACUCCCUUAAUAUAUUCAAAACCUCUAAGCUGGUUUUCACACACAAUAAUAAAAGAAAAGUGUUUACAGGGUUAGCAAAUAGCAAACUCACGCUUUAAUGCCAGUUCAUAACUCUGCAGGUCCUACCUUGUUUCUCUCAGCUGUAGAUUUCAGUUGUGCUACGACAUCCUGCAGUUGGUCAACAUGUUCAGGAAUGAACCCGUGUGACCUUUUAAAUAUGCCCAAAGCCUUUUCUUCAUUGAUUACAACUACUGCAAUUAGCAUAGGCUUGAAACUAUCUAAAGAACACAAAGAUCAACAAAACUUCAAUAGCAGGAUUACGCAAAAUGCAUGACACAACAUUUAUAUGCAAUCAUUUAGAAGUGGAAACUGAAAACGAAGAUGCUGGAAACACAAAUCUCUUCAGCAUCAAAGAUCAUAAAUGAAAAAGAAAAGAAAGAAGAAGUUGCUGAUUGAAGAGUAGGUGGGAGAAGAGGAGAAGCGGCCAUCGUUUUUAGAGAUAGAAUAAAAUUAGCCGUUGCAUAUGCCACAUCGGCAGGAAAAUAUCUAUUCACUCUCCUAUCCUCAUGUGAGAACAAACUUCCGGCUGACAGUGCUAUUUUGUGUUUAAAAGUCAUGAAAUUUAUAACUUCAAGUCUCAACUAGGUUACGAAAUCAGUUGAGGUGUGUAAUCGGCAAAAUCUAAAUAGUUCAGGUGGCUAGUUAUAUAUUUUGCCAUUAUAAAAUUCACUAAACAAGCGGACUUCUUGAGCAAUAGCAUGAAAUAUUUAUAUUCUUGUGGUGGUAAUGGGAACAGCAUGUAAGAUGGUGUCUAGUGAAAAUACAAAGUGUCUGACCAAGCAUUCUUCCAAAAUGGAGUAAUAAACUGAAUAGGACUCUUGCCUUAGAGAUUAGGGAUGAUGCAAAAAUUCACUAUAGCUCGUAACUGCAAAUACGUGGAAAAAAAAUGCAUAAUUCCAAUGAAUUAUUACAGCUAACAAAUUUCCUUGUUGGUUCAUAAUGUAAUCUGUUGAAUUUGUGGUCUUUGUCCAUUUCUCUUCAAUUAUAAACAAAACUAUGCUGUGUUCAAU